rnacentral:rRNA from 1 species
AUGGCUAAUUCUAAUGCGGCUUUAGGCCAUGAUGGUUUCUCCAUUCCGUUCUUUCGACAAUUCUGGCCCCAACUAAAAGGUCUAAUUUCUGCUGUCAUCCAAGGGUAUUGGCUGGUAUCGGUUGACAUUGCUAGACUUAACUAUGCGGUUCUCUCCCUCAUCCCUAAGGUCAAGGGUGCGGAUAUGAUUUCUCAAUUUAGGCCGAUUGCUUUAAUCAACAACUUCGCAAAGAUGCCUGCAAAGGGCAUGGCCACUAGGCUAUCUCCCAUUGCACAUCGGACCAUUAGCCCUUUCCAGUCUGCUUUCAUCAAAGGGAGGUUCAUUUUGGACGGGGUACUUUGUUUACAUGAGAUUGUUCAUGACUUACGGGUGCGAGGGACCAAGGCUGUGGUUCUCAAACUUGACUUUGAAAAGGCCUACGACUCGGUUAGCUGGAAAUUCCUUCGGCAAGUUCUUUUGGCUAAGGGCUUUGAGGGGCCUGUUAUGCAGCACUUGAUGCAAUUGGUUUCUGGGGGGACACGGCUGUGGCUGUCAAUGGCCAAACUAGCCAGUUUUUUGCUAAUGGCAGGGGCCUCAGGCAAGGGGAUCCAGCGUCCCCUUUACUCUUCAACUUUGUGGUUGAUGCUCUAUCUCGCAUUCUCUCUCGAGCUGCCUUGGCUGGUCAUAUCACUCUGGUGA